rnacentral:rRNA from 1 species
GGGUGCGUAACACGUGAGGAACUUGUCCCCGGUCUCUGGGAUAACAGUUGGAAACGACUGCUAAUACCGGAUGACGUCGGAACUUCGCAUGGAGUACUGACGAAAGGGUUACUGGAUCGGGAGAGCCUCGCGGCCUAUCAGCUUGUUGGUGGGGUAACGGCCUACCAAGGCUAAGACGGGUAGCUGGUCUGAGAGGAUGAUCAGCCACACUGGAACUGAGACACGGUCCAG